rnacentral:tRNA from 1 species
GGCCUGAUGGUCUAGGGGUAUGAUUCUCGCUUAGGGUGCGAGAGGUCCCCGGUUCAAAUCCCGGUCAGGCCC